rnacentral:rRNA from 1 species
GACGAACGCUGGCGGCGUGCUUAACACAUGCAAGUCGAACGAAGUGGCGAACGGGUGAGUAACGCGUAAUCAACCUGGCCUUCAGAGGGGGACAACAGGUGGAAACGACUGCUAAUACCGCAUAAUGAAGGAGGGGAGUGCGGCGGAUUAGCUAGUUGGAGGGGUAACGGCCCACCAAGGCGAUGAUCAGUAGCCGGUUCGAGAGGAUGAACGGCCACAUUGGGACUUGGCAACGGCCCAGACUCCUACGGGAGGCAGCAGUGGGGAAUCUUCCGCAAUGGACGAAAGUCUGACGGAGCAACGCCGCGUGAGUGAUGACGGCCUUCGGGUUGUAAAGCUCUGUUAAUCGGGACGCGGUACCGGAAUAGAAAGCCACGGCUAACUACGUGCCAGCAGCCGCGGUAAUUC